CCUCUCUCUCUUCUCUCUUCUCUCUCUCUCUCUCUCUCUCUCUCUCUCUCUCUCUCUCUCUCUCAUUUAUUUCCAUCAUCUCCCUUCAUCUCCUGGCAUCUCUGGGACGCCAGGGUCAGCCUCGGGUCCCCUCUGUGAUUCUGAACUCAAGACAGCAGACACACCACCAACCACUGCUUUUCAUCUCCUUGUAUCGUUUUUGAAGCCUUCUCUCCUUCCUGCGAGCGGCCCCGCCUUCAGCCGGGGACUUUCCUUGCUCUGACAGUUUUCACAUAAUCUUUCAGUCUCUAAAUUUACUGCGUCAUCUUGCCAUGCACCGACUCCCUCCGCUUUCUUGUCCAUUCCCUCCCUGACCCAUCUGUCUGUCUUUCAGGACCCCUGCUGACCGAGCAACACGCUGGGGACUCCUGAGCCUGCCUAACUCACACUCAUUCGAAUUUUCACCCCUUCUGUCUUCCUUGAGCUGUUUCUGGAAGGAUGGUGCUGGCCCCUCACUGCUUGGAAAAUCCUGGGUUUUCCUCUCUGCCUUCACAUUCUGCUUGCGGUUUCAGUGAGAGGGACUACUCCUUAGAAGACUCUUCGGGACCUUCAGAGAAAGGGAGCUUCUGCUGUCUCCAUCCUCCUCCUGUGGGAUGCGAGGUUGGCACUGUGCCAGACAUGUCUGCUCCUGGCAACACCAAUCUACUUCAAAGAAGAAAAUGCGCAUUGAAGAAACUCCACAUGGUGUUUACUUUCUUUGUAGCAAAAGUAAGCCUCUGUGCAAGAGAAAGCCCCUGCCUUGACUGCUGCCAAGGCUGUCCUAAUUAGACAAACAGGACACAAAAUAUCCUGCUUCACAGAAAAGCCUGUUGGAUAUGCCAGGCCAAAGAUGGAUGCCCCAUCGUUGCAGAUGAACUUUGGGUCGCUGUCCAGGCAACCAGCUGUUUCUGUCAUUACUCACGGUUUUUUAGAAGCUGCUUGCUUGCCCUUCCUGCUCACUCAGUUAAUAUUAUUCCCUUCUCGGGUCUCUGAGGAAGUUAAAGACUACAUUGUUAUUAUUAUCAUCUCCUUUGUUUAUGAGACCCAGAAAAGAAGUUCACUAAAGAAUUGUAAAGUAUAUAAGGUUGAGAGAAGUCAAAAGAUGGUUUUGGAUGGUAAUGCAAGUUCUGAUAGAAAGUAAAUUAGGUCCAAGACUUUGGACUCACCAAGAUAGAAUAGAUAUGGAAUAUUUUCUCUGAAUUUGUCAAAUGCAAAUGGAUGAGACAUUGUUGAUGUAUUUAUUGCUUGUAUAUAUUGUACAUAGUUAUAUAUAUUGUACUUGUGUAUAUAGUUUUUCUUAUAUUAGUUAUAGCCUAUUAAUUUUAGACAAAGGGGGAAAUAGAGUGGCAUUUCAAUUGUAUUUUAAUAAAUAAAGUUUGCCUGGGGAUCAGGAGAGUAAAACAAGCCACGCUGUGAGCCUUACAGCGAGGCAGUGGUGACACACACCUUCAAUCCCAGUAGUCACUCUAGUUGCCAUAGAAAUAGGGUGGUGCAAGCCUUUAAUUCCAGGACUAGAGGGGAUUAGAAAAUGGGAGAAAACAGCUCUGAGACAGUCUCAUUCUGAGAUUCCUGGAGGUGGGAUUGCCAUUUCACACUGAGGUAGAGUAAGAGUCAGUGUCUAGCUGCUUUGAUUUUCCUGGUCUUCAGGUUGAACCCCAGUUUCUCUCCCGGAGUUUUUAUUAAUUGUGCUUCAAUUAAAAAUUCAAAAUAUUUAAGAAAACAAAGAAAUGACAUUCAAAGGAAGGAAGGGAAUUGAAGCAUUUCCUGUGCUUCCACUCACUGGACAGCCACUAAUCAAUGCUGCAUCUAUUUUCCUCACCGUAUGUAUGUAUAGAAGAGAAAAGGCGAACUACUGGGAGGUUAGACUCUGAAUUUAACUCUGUGGAGUGUGCCGUCUGUAUAUGUAGAGUUUUAACACCGCGGCACUACAUGUCUACUUUCCGAAAAUGGUGAGAACGCAUGGGGCGGAAGCCCCCAGGAAAUGAAGCUGCUUACUUUGUUUAUUAACCUUGUUUAACACAGCAGCUCCAUGUCAGCCACUCAGUUUUUUCCUUCUCUCUCUGUGUGUGUGUGCAUGUGUCCAUCUGCACGUGUGUGAAGGUGCAGGUGUGUACUGUCAGAGGCUAGAGGGCAACAGAGGGUGUCUUAUUUUCCUUCACCUUCCUGGAUUUUCCCUGAAGCCAGAGCAACUGAUGAGGCCCCCUAUGAUGCACUGACAGGUGCACAUGCUUGCACCCCGAUGCUUGUCUGACACAGGUGUACACGGCUGCACCCCUACCCUGAAUUGACAGGUACACACGGCUGCACCCCUACCCUGGAUUGACAGGUGCACACAGCUGCCCCCACCCCGGGACUCACAUUUGAGCUUUACCCACUGUGCCAUGUCCAUGGGCACUAGGCAUUUAAAGAGGUGUUUCAUAGCUUCUUCCAAAGGCAAAGGACAGUUGCCUGUACUUUAAAUGUUUUAUGUUGGACUCAUAAUUUAGUGCCAAGUGUGAAAUAUUAGGACUGUACACAUUUACUGAAAGUGGGAGAGGGGGAGGGGAGAGAGGGAGAAAAGGAGAGAGGGGGGUUCUAGGCACCAAAAGUCUGACUGAAUGUCUUGUUUUUUUAUUUUGCUGCCCUCUUGUGGCUGAGAGGGGUGGCGCAUUUUCCAAGGCUUGAAACAGGACCGAACUAGAAUUAGCCAUGCUUCCUUAUUUACAAAAGUGAGCCUGGUGGUGGUGGUGGUGGUGCACGCUUUUAAUCCCAGCACUCGGGAGGCAGAGGCAGGCGGAUCUCUGAGUUUGAGGCCAGCCUGAGCUAGUUCCAGGACAGACUCUAAAGCUACAGAAAAACUCUGGAACCUCCCUGUCCCCCCAAAAAGGGGGGACGGACGGACAUAUUAUGAACUUGUCUCUUGUCUGCCUGUCACAGACAUUUUAUGACAAUCUCGUUUUUCCCUGUGAGUUACUUCUAACGCCCACCUUCAUUCGCAGCAGGGCUGUUUCACUUGGGCGGCCGUUUUCCUCUGCUUGGCCGCACGGGCCAUCAGUGGCCCACAGCAGUGGUGCCUCUCGUCUUCAUCCCAAAUGCCUUGCCCGUGACUUUCUCGCUCUGUGUCCCUCCUGACAAUCGCUCUGAACCGCAUUUAGCAUGUUUGCUC